UGCCAGCCGCCGCGGUAAUACGAAGGGGGCUAGCGUUGUUCGGAAUUACUGGGCGUAAAGCGCACGUAGGCGGACUUUUAAGUCAGAUGUGAAAUCCCAAGGCUCAACCUUGGAACUGCAUUUGAAACUGGGAGUCUAGAGAUCAGGAGAGGUUAGUGGAAUACCGAGUGUAGAGGUGAAAUUCGUAGAUAUUCGGAGGAACACCAGUGGCGAAGGCGGCUUACUGGACCGGUACUGACGCUGAGGUACGAAAGCGUGGGGAGCGAACAGGAUUAGAUA
rnacentral:rRNA from 1 species